UUUUUCCUGCACCUUUGUGUCAGACUCUCUCUGGUGCUGUUCUCUGCUGCUGGUUCUUUCCCGCCCUCCCUCAGCAGCUGCAGAUUAAAGUUGGCCUGGUUCGUGUAGGUUUUUCACUGCUGCUACUCACUUAAUAGCAACAGUGAAAAUUUCUCACUUUUAGGUCUGUUGAACAUAUGGAAAACUGUGAGAAUUCCAGGGUCUGUAUUUCCAAAAGGGAACAAUACAUUGAGCUGCAUUGGGCAGGCUCUUCAAGCUCAAACAGCAGAGGACCAGGACAUCCUUUAUUUUGAACGUCAGGCCAUGAAAAUUAUAGGUCACUUCUGCUAAUUUAGGCCUGGAGGUGAAUUGACUGAGACGGUAGGAAGCUGUUACAUCCAGUUUAUUGGUGAGUUUCUCAGAAACCGUAGAAGUUUUGAAAUCCUUCACGAAUUUAAGAAAUGUUUUUUGGAAGUUAAGGACAUGGACAUCUCUCUCUUACCUGAAAACUGAAGUUAAGUAUUAGUCAGGUAAACUGUUUAAGCCCUUUAUUAUUUUAUUUUAAAAAAUGAGAUUGUUGAGUUGGGUUUCUUUAAAAGCCCAUUUGCCUUCUGUACACUGGCAUGCAGAGUAAAAGAGGGAUUUAUUUUUCUUCUGCUAAUAAGGUUGCUUGCACAGUCACAAGCUAAUAUUUAGGAGUUGAUGUGUUCAAGGAAAAAUCUGCUUUUGCAUAGCAUCAUCUUCGUGUCACUCAGCUGAACUAUGGCUGCUCCCUAGUUCUGCUUCUUGUAUACUUUUCAAAUCAACUGCCAAGAAAAUUUCACCCAGAUGUUUCUUACAAGGAGUUUAAUCAGCAGUGUGGAGUCAGGAAUCUUUGUUGUCUAUUUUGCAGUGGGGGUCAGAGGUGUCUGAGGGGAUGGCAUGUAAAAAGGUUAAAUGCCCUUCCCUUCCCAGGAGAUUCAUGAGCAAAUGUUUCUACUGGCAAAAGCAAAUGUUAAUUAUUUUAUUCCUUUUUUUUGAAAAGGGUUUUCAUCCAAAAAGAUUUAUUGGGCUCUAGCCUCCACUUUAACAUAUGGUUCUCUUUUAACAUGAUAAAUAUCCGUUUGUACAUGAUCAUAAAUAGGUAAUGGAUUUUAGGGAUUUCUUUCUGACCUGUGUCCAGCUUUGUACUACAUUAAAGGGAGAGUAACACAAA
rnacentral:lncRNA from 1 species